rnacentral:piRNA from 1 species
UGCAACAUGUAUGGAACAAGGAUCUGCCUA